AUUGAACGCUGGCGGCAUGCUUUACACAUGCAAGUCGAACGGUAACAGGCCGCAAGGUGCUGACGAGUGGCGAACGGGUGAGUAAUGCAUCGGAACGUGCCCAGUCGUGGGGGAUAACGCAGCGAAAGCUGCGCUAAUACCGCAUACGAUCUAUGGAUGAAAGCGGGGGACCGUAAGGCCUCGCGCGAUUGGAGCGGCCGAUGUCAGAUUAGGGAGUUGGUGGGGUAAAGGAUCACCAAGCCAACGAUCUGUAGCUGGUCUGAGAGGACGACCAGCCACGCUGGGACUGAGACACGGCCCAGACUCCUACGGGAGGCAGCAGUGGUGAAUUUUGGACAAUGGGCGCAAGCCUGAUCCAGCAAUGCCGCGUGCAGGAAGAAGGCCUUCGGGUUGUAAACUGCUUUUGUACGGAACGAAACGGUCCUGGUUAAUACCUGGGGCUAAUGACGGUACCGUAAGAAUAAGCACCGGCUAACUACGUGCCAGCCGCCGCGGUAAUAC
rnacentral:rRNA from 1 species